UGAAUCGAAACUGGCAGCCACCAGCAUCUGGUACAAAUAAAUCUAAGCCAGACAAAGACAAUCCUUCAGAAGGUCCAAAUGAAGCCAUGGUGCAGAGGGUCACAAGUAAACCAGACAAUGCCUAUUUUUUGGUUGAGAAAAAGAUAAAAGAAAACUCGGCUUCAACUGAAG